rnacentral:rRNA from 1 species
UACGUAGGGUCCGAGCGUUGUCCGGAAUUACUGGGCGUAAAGAGCUCGUAGGUGGUUUGUCGCGUUGUUCGUGAAAACUCACAGCUCAACUGUGGGCGUGCGGGCGAUACGGGCAGACUAGAGUACUGCAGGGGAGACUGGAAUUCCUGGUGUAGCGGUGGAAUGCGCAGAUAUCAGGAGGAACACCGGUGGCGAAGGCGCCACUCUGGGCCGAAACUGACGCUGAGGAGCGAAAGCAUGGGUAGCAAACAGG